rnacentral:rRNA from 1 species
GACGAACGCUGGCGGCGUGGAUUAGGCAUGCAAGUCGAACGGUAUCAUCCUUUCGGGGGUGAGAGAGUGGCGAACUGGUGAGUAACACGUAGGUUAUCUACCCUCAAGACGGGGGACAACCCAGGGAAACUUGGGCUAAUACCGGAUGUGAGCAACUUUUAGUUGUUUGAAAGGUGGCGUAAGCUGUCGCUUGGGGAUGAGCCUGCGUCCUAUUAGUUAGUUGGUGAGGUAACGGCUCACCUAGGCAAUGAUAGGUAGGCGGCCUUAACGGGUGGUCGCCCACACUGGGAUUGAGAUACGGCCCAGACUCCUACGGGAGGCAGCAGUCGAGAAUAGUCUACAAUGGUCGGAAGACUGAUAGUGCGACGCCGCGUGAACGAUGAAUCCCUUCGGGGUGUAAAGUUCUUUUAUAUGUGAGCAGUGCUUCUUAUAUUAACAGUAUGGGGAGAGAGAUAUUAGCAUAUGAAUAAGCAACGGCUAACUCCGUGCCAGCAGCCGAGGUAAGACG